UUAGGGCAGGGCGUUUGGUAGAGGGGGGGACGCUUUAUAGAGGGUCAUUUGAUGAAUGUUAUAUUUCAUUUUACGUAGUACUGAAUUUUGUGUUAACUUUAUUUUGUCAAGAGCUUCUUGAAGAGCAAAGACGUCGAGAGCAAGCUCGCUUAAAAGGUAAAGCAAAAAGUAAUCGAAUUCCGAUCAUGCUGAUCGGGCAAGGCUGAGGCGGAAAGACUUCGCUGAUGAGAAGUCUUUUAGGAUUACCAAUCCCUCCGCCAUGCCCAUGCCCGUGGCAUUAUAACGACAAACGAACAACAGGAUAAAAGAAAGGGAAUAAAUAAGAAUUCACACAGCUGCAUUAAGCAUCCUACGAGGAGAAAGACGACGUCUCUAUUGGUUCUUCUUUAUAUAUGCUAUGCUCAAUAUUUGCUUAUAUAUAAGUCCAGCAUUAUUAAAUUUUACCGUUGUCGUGCUGAGGACACUCGACCAUAUUUUAAAAUUAUGGUUGAUACCUUUUCCCGAUGGUUCAAUACAUUUCUUGAUUUUAAAUUAUGCGUGUCCGGCAUUGAUGUUUUUCGUAAAAAUCCGAUCAACAUUCGAAAAAUGUUUACGUUUUAGCUUCUUUAUGAGUGAUUUUCUUCUAGCAAAAGGAAAGCCUUUCCAGGGCGUACAGGAGUAAUUUUCGAAAUCUAUUUGUUGAAUAAAAUGGUGUCGGUGCAUAGUUUUGGAGGUUUGAUGGAAAAGUACUUUAAUCUUUGCACACUGGGCCUGUAUAAGUGGCUUGUACAAAACAACCUGAUGAUGUCAUCUACCCAAAAUUUAGUUCAGGCUAAUAAAAAAAUAAAAGGAGCCAAUUAACAACAGGCGACUUGCACUAAGAGGUCCCGUGACUUUAAUCCUUUUGAAAUAGUAGUUAUGGAACUACAAAUCUACAAUGAACAUACAGAGUGAUGGUUUAAGCAAAAUUCUUACACGUUUAGGGCAGGGCGCUUGGUAGAGGCGGGGAACGCUUUAUAGAGGGCUAUUUGGUGGAG
rnacentral:lncRNA from 1 species